rnacentral:rRNA from 1 species
GCUUAACACAUGCAAGUCGAACGCACCCUUCGGGGUGAGUGGCAGACGGCUGAGUAACGCGUGGGUGACGGGCCCUGGAGUGGGGCAUAACUGCCCGAAAGGGUGGCUAAUUCCGCAUACGCUCUCGGAUUCGGUUUCGAGAGGAAGGCAGUGAUGUGCUCCAGGAGCGGCCCGCGUCCGAUUAGCUAGCUGGUGAGGUAACGGCCCACCAAGGCUAUGACGGGUAGCUGGUCUGAGAGGACGACCAGCCACACUGGGACUGAGACACGGUCCAGACUCCUACGGGAGGCAGCAGUGGGGAAUAUUGGGCAAUGGGGGAAACCCUGAUCCAGCGAUGCCGCGUGGGUGAAGAAAGCCUGCGGGUUGUAAAGCCCUUUCAGUGGGGAAGAAAAACGGNGUGUGAAAAGCGCUUCGUCUUGACGUUACCCCUAGAAGAAGCACCGGCUAACUCCGUGCCCCCAGCCGCNGUAAUAC